AUCUGGCUUAGUUACGAGGCAGAGAUUGAGAGAUUGAUUUGAUCAUUUCAAUUUGAUCUUCUGAGAGGCCUUUUUUGAGGGGACUGUUUUGAAUGAUUUUCCAUCAACUUUCCUCCAAGGUUCCAUAGACACAU